AGUGAACGCUGGCGGUAGGCCUAACACAUGCAAGUCGAACGGCAGCACAGUAAGAGCUUGCUCUUACGGGUGGCGAGUGGCGGACGGGUGAGGAAUACAUCGGAAUCUACUUUUUCGUGGGGGAUAACGUAGGGAAACUUACGCUAAUACCGCAUACGACCUACGGGUGAAAGCAGGGGAUCUUCGGACCUUGCGCGAUUGAAUGAGCCGAUGUCGGAUUAGCUAGUUGGCGGGGUAAAGGCCCACCAAGGCGACGAUCCGUAGCUGGUCUGAGGGGAUGAUCAGCCACACUGGAACUGAGACACGGUCCAGACUCCUACGGGAGGCAGCAGUGGGGAAUAUUGGACAAUGGGCGGAAGCCUGAUCCAGCCAUACCGCGUGGGUGAAGAAGGCCUUCGGGUUGUAAAGCCCUUUUGUUGGGAAAGAAAAGCAGCAGGUUAAUACCCCGCUGUUCUGACGGUACCCAAAGAAUAAGCACCGGCUAACUUCGUG
rnacentral:rRNA from 1 species